rnacentral:rRNA from 1 species
GGGUUGUGAGGUUAAGCGACUAAGCGUACACGGUGGAUGCCCUGGCAGUCAGAGGCGAUGAAGGACGUGCUAAUCUGCGAUAAGCGUCGGUAAGGUGAUAUGAACCGUUAUAACCGGCGAUUUCCGAAUGGGGAAACCCAGUGUGUUUCGACACACUAUCAUUAACUGAAUCCAUAGGUUAAUGAGGCGAACCGGGGGAACUGAAACAUCUAAGUACCCCGAGGAAAAGAAAUCAACCGAGAUUCCCCCAGUAGCGGCGAGCGAACGGGGAGCAGCCCAGAGCCUGAAUCAGUGUGUGUGUUAGUGGAAGCGUCUGGAAAGGCGCGCGAUACAGGGUGACAGCCCCGUACACAAAAAUGCACAUGCUGUGAGCUCGAUGAGUAGGGCGGGACACGUGGUAUCCUGUCUGAAUAUGGGGGGACCAUCCUCCAAGGCUAAAUACUCCUGACUGACCGAUAGUGAACCAGUACCGUGAGGGAAAGGCGAAAAGAACCCCGGCGAGGGGAGUGAAAAAGAACCUGAAACCGUGUACGUACAAGCAGUGGGAGCACGCUUAGGCGUGUGACUGCGUACCUUUUGUAUAAUGGGUCAGCGACUUAUAUUCUGUAGCAAGGUUAACCGAAUAGGGGAGCCGAAGGGAAACCGAGUCUUAACUGGGCGUUAAGUUGCAGGGUAUAGACCCGAAACCCGGUGAUCUAGCCAUGGGCAGGUUGAAGGUUGGGUAACACUAACUGGAGGACCGAACCGACUAAUGUUGAAAAAUUAGCGGAUGACUUGUGGCUGGGGGUGAAAGGCCAAUCAAACCGGGAGAUAGCUGGUUCUCCCCGAAAGCUAUUUAGGUAGCGCCUCGUGAAUUCAUCUCCGGGGGUAGAGCACU